ensembl:lincRNA
AUGUCCUGGAGUGUCCAGUCAGUGUGUCUGUACUGUAUUAACCCCUCUCUCAGUGCAGUGUUAAUGUCCUGGAGUGUCCAGUCAGUGUGUCUGUAUGAACCCCUCUCUCUCAGUGCAGUGUUAAUGUCCUGGAGUGUCCAGUCAGUGUGUCUGUACUGUGUUAACCCCUCUCUUUCUCAGAGGAAAAUUAUGAAUCCCAUUCAGACAUCACGAUCACCAGUGAAGUCAGCUUUGCUGCCAAGGAGGGAGAAGGGAUCCAGCUCCCAUUGUCCCAAAUGGAUCCAAGUGCAAAAACAGAAGAGGAAAAGGAAACCGUAGAAGAAAUAAUGCUUUUAUUUAAUAACACAGACAGGACAUUUUCAGAUAUGACACAGAGCAAGGAGCACCACCUGGUCUGCAGUGAUCUCCUUCUGUUUAUAUUGCUGCAUUAAGUUAAUGAAAGACUGUGAGCAAGACCAAACUUUAAAACGCCUUGGGAAUUCUCUCCCAGCAUGGAUGAGUUUUGUGUCUAGGUUGUAGAACAGUUUGUUCAAAACUACAGUUUUGAAACUGUAGUUCAGAAUACUUCCAGAAAGGGAUCUCCCAGCAGGCAAUUGUUUUAAAAUGGACUAAUGUUUGGAAUAAACAUGGAAUAAAAUGGAAUCAUUUCAAUACAGUACCCCAGAUAUCACUGAGUGGACCCUGUAGGUCAGUGCUUUCUGAAAGGAGAAGCCUAAAUUUAAGUAGGUAGCUGCGUCAGCAUGUGUAGGCUGCAAGAAAUAAAUGAUUUUUUCAUAUUGAAAAGAAAAGACACAAUGUUUCGGCUGUGGAGCUGUCUUCAGGCACACCUGAAGAAGGCUCCACAGCCAAAACGUAUCUCUUUUCUUUUCACCAUUUACUUGUUCCUUUGAAACCUAAAUUGGACUAUCCAAGCCAGUAACAAGCUGCAAGUAAAUCUGAUGUACAUUAAGAGCAGAGAUGGAAUAUUGGUCAACAUGUUAUAGAGAUGCCUCUAGAAACAGUCAAGGGAAGAGCACUCAGGGUCAUUCUCAUAUUAAAGUUCCACACUAACAGACUGAAGGAACUGGGUCUCUUUAGUCUCAAGGGAGUGUCACAAACUGACAGGCUGAAGAAACUGAGUCUCUUUAGUCUGAAGGGAGUGUCCCACACUGAUAGGGAGAAGCAGCUGAGUCUCUUAAAUCUUGAACCGACAAGACUAUGAGGGAUCUGAGCCUAGUGUUCAGAAGUGUUGAAGUCAUCGACAAAGUCAACACUGUGCCAGGGCCAGAUGAACCUGUUGGUGGCUCUAGGCAAACAAAGGGUCUAUACAAAUACAUUUUAACCCCCACAGAUGUGAACGCUGGUAAUACAAUUAAUUAAACCACAUUUGUGAUGGUUUGGCUGUCAGUGUUGAGCUGAUGGAUUAAUAGUGUAGCUGAACGCUCUUACAACACCUCUCACUCCAGCUGACAUGAACACCAGCAACGGGCCUGACCUUCCUGCUGAAAGGUUACAGCCAAGUGGAAUCUGUCCCGCUGUUAAUGAGAAAGUAAACCUGAUCCACAUCUGAAACACUACAGUAAUAGUUAACACGGCAGCUUUCUUUCUCGAUCUUGUCCUGCGAGCUCGACAGUCCCCGUUUCCGAGCCCAGGGGGCGCAGUGGUCUGCGGAGUGACACAGUCACGCACGGUCCCUGGCCACGUCUCUGAGCGUCGGGGCGAAGGGCUGUUUUAAAUGCUCUGCGGCCUGAAGGACGUUUUCCCAAACAUUGAACUGCAUUAAACAUUUCUUCUGUUCCUCCUGUAAACUGGGAAGCUGGGAACAAUAUAGCGCCCAGAUCCCCUGGAAAUAAAAAGACCCUGGACAAGGCACUUUCACUGUUGUAACAG